GGUGAGCGCUGGCGGCGUGCCUAAUACAUGCAAGUCGAGCGAACAGACGAGGAGCUUGCUCCUCUGACGUUAGCGGCGGACGGGUGAGUAACACGUGGAUAACCUACCUAUAAGACUGGGAUAACUUCGGGAAACCGGAGCUAAUACCGGAUAAUAUAUUGAACCGCAUGGUUCAAUAGUGAAAGACGGUUUUGCUGUCACUUAUAGAUGGAUCCGCGCCGCAUUAGCUAGUUGGUAAGGUAACGGCUUACCAAGGCAACGAUGCGUAGCCGACCUGAGAGGGUGAUCGGCCACACUGGAACUGAGACACGGUCCAGACUCCUACGGGAGGUAGCAGUAGGGAAUCUUCCGCAAUGGGCGAAAGCCUGACGGAGCAACGCCGCGUGAGUGAUGAAGGUCUUCGGAUCGUAAAACUCUGUUAUUAGGGAAGAACAAAUGUGUAAGUAACUAUGCACGUCUUGACGGUACCUAAUCAGAAAGCCACGGCUAACUACGUG
rnacentral:rRNA from 1 species